GCUUCCCUCAGAAACACAGAUACUAUAAUGGGGACAGUGCAGAGAAGAUGGACAUGACCUCUGAACAAGGAUGACAUACAAAUUUGUGAAGUAUUCUAUUCACUG